CACCUGCUGCGUGGGAUCUUCGCUGGUAGUAGGUAAGCGAUGGGGUGACGCAGGAAGGUAGCCGUACCAGCCGAUGGUGGUGCUGGGGCAAGCCGGUAGGACGAACGAUAGGCAAAUCCGUCGUUCACACGAGUCCGAGAGGUGAUGCAUAGCCGAUUGGGGUGAAUUCGGUGAUCCUAUGCUGCCGAGAAAAGCCUCUAGCGAGGACAUACACGGCCCGUACCCCAAACCGACACAGGUGGUCAGGUAGAGAAUACCGAGGCGUACGAGUGAACUAUGGUUAAGGAACUCGGCAAAAUGCCCCCGUAACUUCGGGAGAAGGGGGACCCCCACACCGUGAACCCACUUGCUGGGGUAGCGGGAGGGGGUGGCACAAACCAGUGAGAAGCGACUGUUUACUAAAAACACAGGUCCGUGCGAAGUCGCAAGACGAGGUAUACGGACUGACGCCUGCCCGGUGCUGGAAGGUUAAGAGGACCGGUUAACCGGAGUGAUUCGGUGAAGCUGAGAAUUUAAGCCCCAGUAAACGGCGGUGGUAACUAUAACCAUCCUAAGGUAGCGAAAUUCCUUGUCGGGUAAGUUCCGACCUGCACGAAUGGCGUAACGACUUCUCAACUGUCUCAACCAUAGACUCGGCGAAAUUGCACUACGAGUAAAGAUGCUCGUUACGCGCGGCAGGACGAAAAGACCCCGGGACCUUCACUACAACUUGGUAUUGCUGUUCGAUGCGGUUUGUGUAGGAUAGGUGGGAGACUGUGAAACCAGAACGCCAGUUUGGUGGAGUCGUUGUUGAAAUACCACUCUGAUCGUAUUGGACAUCUAACCUCGAACCGUCUAUCCGGUUCAGGGACAGUGCCUGGCGGGUAGUUUAACUGGGGCGGUUGCCUCCUAAAAUGUAACGGAGGCGCCCAAAGGUUCCCUCAACCUGGACGGCAAUCAGGUGGCGAGUGCAAGUGCACAAGGGAGCUUGACUGCAAGACGGACAUGUCAAGCAGGGACGAAAGUCGGGACUAGUGAUCCGGCACCCCCGAGUGGAAGGGGUGUCGCUCAACGGAUAAAAGGUACCCCGGGGAUAACAGGCUGAUCUUCCCCAAGAGUCCAUAUCGACGGGAUGGUUUGGCACCUCGAUGUCGGCUCGUCGCAUCCUGGGGCUGGAGCAGGUCCCAAGGGUUGGGCUGUUCGCCCAUUAAAGCGGCACGCGAGCUGGGUUUAGAACGUCGUGAGACAGUUCGGUCUCUAUCCGCCGCGCGCGUCAGAAGCUUGAGGAAACCUGUCCCUAGUACGAGAGGACCGGGACGGACGAACCUCUGGUGCACCAGUUGUCCCGCCAGGGGCACCGCUGGAUAGCCACGUUCGGCCAGGAUAACCGCUGAAAGCAUCUAAGCGGGAAACCUUCUCCAAGACCAGGCUUCUCACCCACUAGGUGGGAUAAGGCCCCCCGCAGACCACGGGAUCAAUAGACCAGACCUACACGCCCGGCAACGGGUUUAGGGAACUGGCACUAACCGGCCGAAAACUUACCCAC
rnacentral:rRNA from 1 species